AUCCGACGGUGCCGGUGGAAGGGCCAUCACUCAACGGAUAAAAGUUACUCUAGGGAUAACAAGCGGAUCUUUCCCAAGAGCUCACAUCGACGGGAAGGUUUGGCACCUCAAUAUCGGCUCUUCGCCACUGGGGCUGUAGUACGUUCCAAGGGUUGGGCUGUUCGCCCAUUAAAGCAGUACGUGAGCUGAGUUCAAAACGUCGUGAGACAGUUCGGUCCAUAUCCGGUGUGGGCGUUAGAGCAUUGAGAGGACCUUUUCCUAGUACGAGAGGACCGGGAAGGACGCAUCUCUGGUGUACCAGUUAUCGUGCCCACGGUAAACGCUGGGUAGCCAAGUGCGGAGCGGAUAACUGCUGAAAGCAUCUAAGUAGUAAGCUCAUGGAGUGCCCAAAACACAUCAAUUCAUG
rnacentral:ncRNA from 1 species